rnacentral:rRNA from 1 species
GAUGAACGCUAGCGGCAGGCCUAACACAUGCAAGUCGAGCGAGAGGUUACCUUCGGGUAACCAAAACCGGCGCACGGGUGCGUAACGCGUAUACAAUCUGCCUUUCACAUAGGGAUAGCCCGAAGAAAUUUGGAUUAAUACCUAAUGGUAUAUAAGAGCGGCAUCGUUUUUAUAUUAAAGCUACGGCGGUGAAAGAUGAGUAUGCGUUCUAUUAGCUAGUUGGUGAGGUAACGGCUCCCCAAGGCGACGAUAGAUAGGGGUUCUGAGAGGGAUGUCCCCCACACUGGUACUGAGAUACGGACCAGACUCCUACGGGAGGCAGCAGUGAGGAAUAUUGGACAAUGGUCGGAAGACUGAUCCAGCCAUGCCGCGUACAGGAUGAAGGUCCUAUGGAUUGUAAGCUGCUUUUGUAAGGGAAGAAUAAGGGGUACGUGUACUUUGAUGACGGUACCUUACGAAUAAGCAUCGGCUAACUCCGUG